rfam:Picea glauca, whole genome shotgun sequence.
GUUAUCUCUGGAGACAUUUGAUAAAAUUUGAAAUAUAGAGGGAAUAUUAGUAUUGCCCCUGCACAAGGAUGGCACAUUUGGUAAUGAUAAUAAAUUUCAU